rnacentral:rRNA from 1 species
UACGGGGGGGGCAAGCGUUGUUCGGAAUUACUGGGCGUAAAGGGCUCGUAGGCGGCCAACUAAGUCGGAUGUGAAAUCCCCAGGCUCAACCUGGGAACUGCAUCCGAUACUGGAUGGCUUGAAUUCGGGAGAGGGAUGCAGAAUUCCAGGUGUAGCGGUGAAAUGCGUAGAUAUCAGGAGGAACACCGGUGGCGAAGGCGGAUCUCUGGGCCUUACCUGACGCUCAGGCGCGAAAGCUAGGGGAGCGAACAGG